rnacentral:rRNA from 1 species
CCUACGGGAGGCAGCAGUGAGGAAUAUUGGUCAAUGGACGAGAGUCUGAACCAGCCAAGUAGCGUGAAGGAUGACUGCCCUAUGGGUUGUAAACUUCUUUUAUAUGGGAAUAAAAUGUUCCACGUGUGGGAUUUUGUAUGUAACAUAUGAAUAAGGAUCGGCUAACUCCGUGCCAGCAGCCGCGGUAAUACGGAGGAUCCGAGCGUUAUCCGGAUUUAUUGGGUUUAAAGGGAGCGUAGGUGGAUUGUUAAGUCAGUUGUGAAAGUUUGCGGCUCAACCGUAAAAUUGCAGUUGAAACUGGCAGUCUUGAGUACAGGAGAGGUGGGCGGAAUUCGUGGUGUAGCGGUGAAAUGCUUAGAUAUCACGAAGAACUCCGAUUGCGAAGGCAGUUCACUGGACUGCAACUGACACUGAGGCUCGAAAGUGUGGGUAUCAAACAGGAUUAGAUACCCCAGUAGUC